rnacentral:rRNA from 1 species
CAGCAGCCGCGGUAACACGGAGGGGGCUAGCGUUGUUCGGAAUUACUGGGCGUAAAGCGCACGUAGGCGGCUUGGUAAGUUAGAGGUGAAAGCCUGGAGCUCAACUCCAGAAUUGCCUUUAAGACUGCCGAGCUAGCAGGUGAGAGAGGUAAGUGGAAUUCCGAGUGUAGAGGUGAAAUUCGUAGAUAUUCGGAAGAACACCAGUGGCGAAGGCGGCUUACUGGCUCAUACUGGACGCUGAGGUGCGAAAGCGGGGGGAGCAAACAGGAUUAGAUACCCGCGUAGUCCCUGUCUCUUAUAC